AAGGACGUGGUGAACAUCACCCUGCUGCACAUCAGCUGCCAGGCAGAGAAAAAUGCCACUCACUUCAUGCUGAAAACCCCCCUCAACCACUGCGGCACCUCGCUGGAGGGCAAGGGCCAUGCCAACAACGAGCUCAUCCUCAACCUGGCCAAGGGCGCAGCGCUCCGGAGCGUGCGGGUGGCCUUCCAGUGCAAGAUCCCACGGGAACUCUUCCUGCGCCUCUUCCCCACCGCCGCCUUCGAGGUGCCGCAGACGGAGC